UGCAGUCUGUGGGGUCGCAAAGAGUCAGACACGACUGAGUGACUGAACAACGAAAAAUUUUCCUUUUCUCUCCGUGGACACACAGGAUGAUGACUUCAUGAGCUUCCAGGGAUGCUGACCCAGGUUUCUUAAGGAGCAAACAGAAUACAGGAAGAACUCUUGAACAUCUACUUUCAAGUUUGCAAAACUCCUUGAGGUGAAAAAAUGAAAAAAUAAGUGAAAGAUUGGGAUAUCUACUCUGCUUGAGGUGGAUCGACCAGCAAAGGCUCAUUGAAACCCUCUCAACCACUUUCUCCCACCUUCUAAACUCGAAAGGGGGCAGAAAGGGACUCACAAAAGCCUCUUCUUCCUGAAGCCCUUGUAAUAGGCUCAUUAAGCACCCGCCUGGGCUUGUUAUAAAAUACUUUGGAAGCAGCCCGUAAGUAGCUGACUGUUUGUAACAGAUAAUAUCAAAUUGGAGAAACAUGUAAAAGCACAUACAAAAACAGUAAAACGAGAUGUAGUCUAAUGAUACCAGCCAAGCAAGCAGGGAAGUAAUUAGUCACUCCAUGUACAUAAUUUGGGAUGUGUAGAGAGCUAAUUUUAUGUGAGGCCAUGUCAGCUUCUAACUUUGUUGUUUUGUAUAUGGGGUAAAUAAAAGAUGUUCCAUGGAGAAUUCUGUAGCAUAGGAAACUGAGCAAGGCUGCUAUCUCAUUAUGGAAGUCACACAUCGUAUUUAUUAAACAUUGUUCUUAAGCCUCUCUUAAGAAUGCUGUAGAGUGUUUUGAUUAUUUAUGUUUUUCCUUUCAUCAGAU